AUGGGACCCUCCAAGACCUGCACCCAGACCAUUUUUCCAGAUUCGCCACCACCUACUGCGUCACUCAAAGCCACACACACCCCUUCCCCACAGGCGCAGGUCCUGGCGCAGCUGCAGGGCUCCAUGCCUUUUCUCUGGCUGGCUCCUCUGCCCAGUGCCCGCCCCCGCCCCAGCUCCACCAUGCGGAAAAGAAAAGAAAAGGAUAUCACCCCACUCCACGCCUGGGAUGACUUCUUCCCCAGCUCCGAUCGCUUUGCCUGGCCGGACUUCAGGGACAUUUGCAAAUGGAACAACCACGUGCUGAGCAACCUGCUCUGUUGCCAGACCAACUACCUGGUGGUGGCUGCCAUGAUGAUUUCCGUCGUGGGGUUUCUGAGUCCCUUCAACAUGAUCCUGGGAGGAAUCGUGGUGGUGCUGGCGUUCACAGUGUUUGCGUGAGCAGCCCACAAUAAAGACAUCCUUCGCCGGAUGAAGAAGCGCCACCCCACGACGUUCCUUAUGGUGGUCAUGUUCACCAGCGAUUUCCUUAUAUCCAUGUUUGGAGGAGUCAUGGUCUUUGUGUUUGGCAUCACUUUUCCUUGGUUGUUGAUGUUUAUCCAUGCAUCGUUGAGACUGUGGAACCUCAGGAACACACUGGAGAAUAAAAUGGAAGUAAUAGGUUUGAAGAGGACACCAACGGGCAUUGUCCUGGAUGCCCUACAACAGCAGGAAGAAGGCCUCAACAGACUCACUGACUAUCAGCAAAGUGAAGGAAGAAACAUAACUGACCUGAGAUGGGGUUGCAGCAGAAAUUGAGUUGCAGUUUGCCCUUGUCCGGACCUACUUUCUGCUUGAGUUUUUGAAAUAGGAGGUGCAGGUACCACCCAAUUAUCUAUGGCAGCAUGCAUGUAUAGGCCGAACUAUUAUCAGCUGUGAUGUUUCAGAGAGAAGGCCUCAGAAACUGAAAAAGAACCACCACCCUCCUAUUAUGUCUGAAGUUUCACGUGUGUUUAUGAAAUCUAAUGGGAAAUGGAUCACACUAUUUCUUUAAGGGAAUACAAAAUAAAUAAAUAAAUAAAAGAAGUAUGGCUUUUACAGCAACAAUACUGUCAUAGGAAUAAAAAAAUCAUUGUAAAGUAUCAAGACAAUACAAGUAAAUGAAAAGGCUGCUUAAGUAGAUGACAUCAUGUGUUAUCCUGUUCCUAAUCCCCUAGAAUUGUAAUGUGUGCGAUAUAAAUUAGUUUUUGUUAUUCUCCUUUAAAAAUCAAAGAUGGUCUCUAUCACUUUGCCACCUGUUUGAUGUGCGUGGAAACUGGUUAAGCCAGUUGUUUAUAUUUCAUUUACAAAUCUAAAGAGAGCUGUGUAGGAUAUUUUGUUAAAUUUUUGAGAUGAUAGUAAUGUGUUUUCACCAGCAAGUAUUUGUUGCAAACUUAAUGUCAUUUUCCUUAAGAUGGUGACAGCUAUGUAACCUGUAGUAUUCUGGACAGACUUGUUAAAAAAUAAACAGACAAAAAGAAAAAUAAAACAAAACUUGAGUUCUGUUUAUCUUGCACACUUUUUGUUGUUACAGUGAAAACAAAAACGGCCCAAGAAAAUAUUUCCCAUUUUUUCAUUUUUUAGUUUAUAACUGGAACAUUUAGAAAGAAGGAAAUGAAUGUGCAUUUUAUCAAUUCCUUAGGGGCACAAGGAGGACGAUAAUAGUAGAUCUUUUGAAAUUUGAACAACAUCUUUAGAUAACCAAGCAAAGACUUUAAAAAAUUGUAAUGAAAAUGGAAAACAGCUACUGUAGCUCAUAAAAAUUUUAGAUAGCUAUUGCUACAACCAUAUGCUUUUACAGCUAGACAUUAAAAUUAUGAUAGCAUGAGUUCAUACAUUCGAUUACUUUUCCUCCCUUUCUCUU